rnacentral:rRNA from 1 species
AGUGAACGCUGGCGGUAGGCCUAACACAUGCAAGUCGAACGGCAGCACAGUAAGAGCUUGCUCUUACGGGUGGCGAGUGGCGGACGGGUGAGGAAUACAUCGGAAUCUACUUUUUCGUGGGGGAUAACGUAGUGAAACUUACGCUAAUACCGCAUACGACCUACGGGUGAAAGCAGGGGAUCUUCGGACCUUGCGCGAUUGAAUGAGCCGAUGUCGGAUUAGCUAGUUGGCGGGGUAAAGGCCCACCAAGGCGACGAUCCGUAGCUGGUCUGAGAGGAUGAUCAGCCACACUAGAACUGAGACACGGUCCAGACUCCUACGGGAGGCAGCAGUGGGGAAUAUUGGACAAUGGGCGCAAGCCUGAUCCAGCCAUACCGCGUGGGUGAAGAAGGCCUUCGGGUUGUAAAGCCCUUUUGUUGGGAAAGAAAAGCAGCAGGUUAAUACCCCGCUGUUCUGACGGUACCCAAAGAAUAAGCACCGGCUAACUUCGUG